GAUGAAGAACGCAGCGAAAUGCGAUAAGUAAUGUGAAUUGCAGAAUUCAGUGAAUCAUCGAAUCUUUGAACGCACAUUGCGCCCGGCAGUACUCUGCCGGGCAUGCCUGUCCGAGCGUCAUUUCAACCCUCGAGCCCCUCCGGGGGGUCGGCGUUGGGGAUCGGCCCCUCACCGGGCCGCCCCCGAAAUACAGUGGCGGUCUCGCCGCAGCCUCUCCUGCGCAGUAGUUUGCACACUCGCACCGGGAGCGCGGCGCGGCCACAGCCGUAAAACACCCCAAGCAUUCUGAAAUGUUGACCUCGGAUCAGGUAGGAAUACCCGCUGAACUUAAGCAUAUCAAUAAGCGGAGGA
rnacentral:misc_RNA from 1 species